GACGAACGCUGGCGGCGUGCUUAACACAUGCAAGUCGAACGGUAAGGCCCUUCGGGGUACACGAGUGGCGAACGGGUGAGUAACACGUGGGUGAUCUGCCCUGCACUUCGGGAUAAGCCUGGGAAACUGGGUCUAAUACCGGAUAGGACUCCUGGCUUCAUGGUUGGGGGUGGAAAGCUUUUGCGGUGUGGGAUGGGCCCGCGGCCUAUCAGCUUGUUGGUGGGGUAAUGGCCUACCAAGGCGACGACGGGUAGCCGGCCUGAGAGGGUGACCGGGCACACUGGGACUGAGAUACGGCCCAGACUCCUACGGGAGGCAGCAGUGGAGAAUAGUGCACAAUGGGCGCAAGCCUGAUGCAGCGACGCCGCGUGAGGGAUGACGGCCUUCGGGUUGUAAACCUCUUUCAGCUAUGACGAAGCGCAAGUGACGGUAGUAGCAGAAGAAGGACCGGCCAACUACGUGCCAGCCGCCGCGGUAA
rnacentral:rRNA from 1 species